GCCGGGCGUGGUGGCGUGUGCCUGUAAUCCCAGCUACUCAGGAGGCUGAGGCAGGAGAAUUGCUUGAACCCAGGAGGCAGAGGUUGCAGUGAGCCGAGAUCCUGCCAGUGCACUCCAGCCUGGGUGACAGAGCAAGACUCUGUAUUAAAAAAAGAAACCAACUUCAAUGUCCUAUUUUUUUUUUUUUUUUUUUUUUGAGUUUCACUCUUGUUGCCCAGGCUGAAGUGCAGUGGCGCAAUCUCGGCUCACUGCAACCUCUGACUCCCGGAUUCAAGCAAUUCUCCUGCCUCA
rnacentral:SRP_RNA from 1 species